GAUUAAACUAGGAACUGGGGUUGCUAAUGUCAUAAGAACUCUCAUUGUCUGACUCAUGUGAAGAAAUGUAAAUAUGUAAAUUGAUUUCUGUAUACUGAACGUGUGACUUGCUGGCUCCAUAAGCAUAUAUACCCGUUUACACCUCUAUAUUCCUACUCAAACAUGUGUCUGAUGGUAUGAUGAGAAGAUAGCUGAAAUGCAUUGUGUAGUAUUUACCUGCUAUGCUUGGUGUCGGUGGCUGUCUGUUGCUAUUGAAUUAAAUGGGGAAUAACUGCAAUAAUAAAGGUUGUUGGUUUUUCCUCAAUGAAUGCAGGAGGAAACAGGGAGAGGUACUGGAAGAAUCGAAGUUAAAGUCUUACCUUGAAUGUUGGCAGGGGCAAUGAAGAAAGAUCUCUGUUCUUCUGAAAUUUCUAAGUGGAGGAAGAAGAAUAUGGUGUGUUCUUGGCUGGAGUUGAAGCAAAUAGAGGGAGAUGUUGGCUGCAUACUUGAGUAUGCUAGAGACAAGGUAUAGGGUAGGGUGAAGGUGAUUGGGGGAGUUGGGGCUGCUGGAGCAAUCUAAGGAAUAGGUGGUAGGGUGUAGGGAGAAGGGAAUUGGUGGAGAGGUGUGGCUGUAGCUGUAGCAGCUUCACACACACACACACACGCCACAUAUCCCUUUUUUCUCUUCUUUGCUUUCUCUUUCUUUUUUUAGCAGAUGAUGUUUUCGAAUUGGGGCUAGGAAAUUGUUUGGUAAUUGAUAGAUAGGUUGUAAAAGUUGUGGUGGAUAUAUGAAUAAAAUCC
rnacentral:lncRNA from 1 species